GCGCGGGGCCAGCGGCGGCCCGGCGGGGCGGCCUCAGUGUGCCCCCCGCGCCCCAGCCACCGGCCGGGGCUCAGCCUCACGGCCCGCCGGGGACGGCGGCCUGUGCCGCGGCGGUGGCGGGAGCCCUCCUCCCCUUUCCUUCUCCCGUCCUCCUCCUCCUGGCCCAGGAGUUUUUAAACUUUAAAGCGCAGGGUACCUCGGCCUGCCCGCCUUUGUCCCCCGGACACCGCGCUCGGCCACCGGCAACCCGCGGGGCCGCGUCCCGCCGCCUCGCCUCCGCCCUACCCCCAGAGAGCAUCUGGAGAGAGGGAAAAGAGGGAAGAGAGAGAGAAAGGGCGCGUUCAUGAGGACUACAAAGUUACAAAUAUGGCUCCCCAGUCUCUCCUGCCUGAUCACUGCAAAGAAACGAAGACGCACUUUAAACUAAACCGUUUCCAACUCGCUCGCAGCCCCCGCCGGCCUCUCCCUGCCCAGCACCCAGCACAAAUAUUUGCCAACUAAACACGAGAGAGAGGAGCCACCAACUUAUUUUAUUUAAACGCCCGGCAGACCUUCCCCCCCCCCCCCCCCUCCGCCCGCCCGCCCCCCCCCUCCUCGGGCAUCGCGCUCGGUUUAAGGGGAGGGGGGGUCAGGAGCAGCCGCUGCUCCCCAACAUCCCUCCUUUAGACCUUAACGCGCUCGGGGCACCCCGAAUCGGGGUGAGCCCCCCAUCCCCUCCGCGCACAGGGCAGGAUGGAGAUGCUUCUUUCACCUGCCUUGACAGCGGAUAAACUGUGAUGAAAGUGAUUGACAGCUAAGCACAAGCUCUGCUGAGAGCUGGGAGAAAGGUCAAGCUGGAUCCAGCUUAAGGUGUGAACAAAGGUGGCCCCUGGGCUGAGGCUUCCCAAAGGAAGGUUUGGGCUGGAAGUUUGUGUUCAUGGCACUGGUGAAGACCUUUGGAAAAGAACUUUUAUCAUGGAAACAGUGUCUGUUAAGUAGCCAACAUAGCAGUUAAAGUUUCUGAGGAUGUGGAGAUACUUUUUCCUUUGUUUCCUCGGAUGAAAGAGCGUGUUGUGUGUUCUAAUGGUAUGGAAUUGUAUAAAGUGCCCCCCUCCAAAGGGUUGGGGGGAACUUACUCGAAGUUCAGACUCGACAUUAAAUGUUUUAACCUGU